rnacentral:rRNA from 1 species
UACGGGGGGGCAAGCGUUGUUCGGAUUACUGGGCGUAAAGCGCACGUAGGCGGAUCGAUCAGUCAGGGGUGAAAUCCCAGGGCUCAACCCUGGAACUGCCUUUGAUACUGUCGAUCUGGAGUAUGGAAGAGGUGAGUGGAAUUCCGAGUGUAGAGGUGAAAUUCGUAGAUAUUCGGAAAGAACACCAGUGGCGAAGGCGGCUCACUGGACUGGUAUUGACGCUGAGGUGCGAAAGCGUGGGGAGCAAACA